GUUUUCCAUGGCAUAAAAGAUCCCACCAAUGGGAGCACAGUAUGCAGGGGCAUCUGAAUGGGAGCUGAUCUUGGAGAAGGAUAAAGAAGUUCUUGUUUCAAGGGGGCCAAAGAAGAUGUGGAGCAUAGACAAUGGAGAAGUUUUUGUUAAGAAACAGACAAAAUGUUUUCUGUCCUGAAGAAGGAAGAGGAGGAUAAAGAAGUAGCAGAGGACAACAUGGAAGGAAAACAGAACAAAAGCAAGUUUCACAGUACUCUGCAGUGUUCUACUCCUGUAAGCUUACAGCAGUCACUGCUGGAAUCAGGAACAGAAGAAUGUGCUUCUACCUGUCCAGUGUCAGUCUAUGUCAUGAGGAUGUGCUUGGACAUGAGGACCUGGGAAGAUGAGAGAGCUGCAGGCACUGAUGGCUUUGAAGUCAACUCCAACAGGACUCCUGCAUCUUCAUUUAGGUACCAAAAUCAAAGGCUUCCUCACCAGCAGUGCUAUAAGGGCUCAAGGCCUGUUUAGAAAAAAAAUCAACGUGCAAUGUACUGACCUAAAUGGGAAGAGACACCAUGAAACAUGUUUAAGAAAGGUUCAAAAUAAUGUGCAGCCUGGACUACCAGAGGCUGUAUGUAGUUGAUUACAAUAAAGAUGGAAAUAAACCUUAAG
rnacentral:lncRNA from 1 species